UGAAAGAUGAUUGGGCAUAUUUUCGUAUUUUUUCUUGUUAUGAUUGCCUGUCAUGCAUCAGAAGACGCAUCUCAAUGUACACAAACUGAUUUCCAGAUGUUGAGAAAAAACGGUGAGGCUCUAGCAGAAAAAGAUGUCAUUUCAAGUCAUGCCGUUCGCAAUCUCAUAGAAUGUUUUAUGAAAUGUGUUUCAAUGCAGCAAUGUGUUGGCCUUAACUACCUUGACAAUGUACAAGAACAUUUGAUUAACUGUCAAACCAACACACGACAAUAAGUAAUGUCUCAAAAAUUGUAUCUUCCGAAGGAAAUUGGAUUUUUUAUCAAACUUCAAAGAUAAAAGAACCUGCAGAAAAUGAAAAUAAUUGGAUAGUCCUAAACUACACAAGUAUUCUAAAAGAUAAAAAUGAUUGGAUACUACAACUCAAACAAUGGCUUCCUUCGACAUUGAAUGGCAAAAAGGCGGUCCAUUGUUACCAGGCAACAGUAAAUGGAUGGAAGGCAACCACUUUUCACAGUCUCUGUGACAAUAAAGGACCGGCAUUGGUUGUUGUAAAACUUGGAACUUUUGUCUUUGGGGGAUUUUCUUCAGAAUCUUGGAAAGGAGACGCCGGUUACAUAAGAGCAGAAAAAUCGUUUAUUUUUUCUUUAAAAAACAAUGAUGGUCUGCCACCAUUUAAAUCCGAAGUUGUCAAACCACAAUAUGCAAUUCGCGAUUAUUCUUCCCAAGGACCCAUAUUUGGAGGUGGUCAUGAUUUCCUCAUCUAUGACAAAGCCAACUCUAAUUC